rnacentral:tRNA from 3 species
GGACCUGUGGCGGAAUUGGCAGACGCAGCGGACUUAAAAUCCGCGGUCCCUCGGGACAUGUGGGUUCGAGUCCCACCGGGUCCA